rnacentral:misc_RNA from 1 species
UGAAUGUCAAUGGAGAAGGAGUGUUUUAUGUGAAGCAGUUGUGUUUUGCAUGGACAUUCUUUUAUUACUUGUAUUGAAAGGUUAAUGCGAAAUGUUUUGUUUUUUCUUGAUUAUUUGUAAAGUGAAAUGAACAACAAUUAUCAUGCUUUCUCUCGUGAUUGUGUGAUAAUGAAAUCAAAAAACCUAUGA